UCUCCGUUGGUGAACCAGCGGAGGGAUCAUUAAAGAGUUCUAUAACUCCCAAUCCCAGGUGAUCAUACCUUACGUCGCCUUGGCAGGUCAUGCCUAGCCCUGAGCGCGCUACCCUGUAGGACUUACCCGGUAGACGCGGGUAAGCCUGCCGGCGGCCCACGAAACUCUGUUUAUAAUUGAAUUCUGAAACUAUAACUAAAUAAGUUAAAACUUUCAACAAUGGAUCUCUUGGUUCUG
rnacentral:misc_RNA from 1 species